GCAUGUCAUAUUUUAAUGAGUGCUCCCAAUCAUAAAAGAUGUCAAUGAUAAUAUAUCUAUAUGUGAAAACCUCUCUUUCCUUAUUACUUCCUAUUAAUUGCAACAUGACCAAAGCUAUGUCUGCCAACUCCCAACAACUUUUAAUCAUCAUACUCUUUCUAUGUGAAGUCAUUACUCUCAAUAAGAUCAAUAUGAACUUUUUGUUUCUUUUUAUUCUUUUUCUGUUUUCUCUUAUUCACCCAAGAUCAUGGCAAAAUAAUCAAGCCCUUGACUCAACACUAAUCUUUAUUAUAUAUAGCUCACGGACUCGAUUACAAAGAGAGAUCAUAAAGCAAAACUCAAAACUAGAUCAUGCCAUAAACUUUAUUCUACUAGAUCAAGAUACUACUAAUAGGAUCGAACUAAGAAAAAUGGUAAAGAUAGGAGUUGUGAUUGUGAUACGAUACCGGGGCACCUCCCCCAAGCUUGGCAGUUGCUAAGGGGAGUGCCCAUACCCAAGUGAUUAUGUCUCCUUCUUUGUUGUUGGUGUAAUAUUCUUGGCAAUUAUUCCCCUCAGGAUGCGGUUCUCCUCCUCGAGCUUAUUGACUUGCUGCUUGAGGUCCAUUAUUUCCUUACGAAGCUUUCCUGUGACAGCUAAAGCUCCUUGCACCCAAGGGUGUUGCAUAGCUGCGGGAGAACAAGUGACACUCCUCUUCAUAUUUUCAUAAGAAAGAAAUCUAACAUUGGAAGGGAUAACCGAGUUUGGAAUGGCUGAGUUCUGUAGUUCCCCCAAUCCAGCUCGGAAGCGAGAGGUGACUUCUUCAUCCUCCAUGGCAUCUACUCUCAUCAAGUCAGCCUCCAUCUCUUCCUCCGUUGCUGGCCCAAAGUGGUCAGCGUCGCUGUUUGCCCUUGGUUCCGGUGCCGGAUUAGAUACCCGGCUCUCCCCGAUUGACUCUUGAGAAGACAUCCUGUUCUAAUCUGUAGCAGCAACAGCUCGAAAACAAAAACAAAGGAGGUUUGCGUGAUACGGGAGUCAAAACCUUCGGGAGAAUAUAUAAUGAAUUUUUACCGACCAAAAUACGUAUCGUGUAAGAAAACGGAGUCCGGAAGGCACACGAGGUGCUCACGAGGUAGGGGGCGCGCCCAGGGGGUAGGGCGCGCCCACCACCCUCGUGUCCUUCCCGGACUGCUACUUAUUUUUCUAUUUUUCUAUAUAUUCCAAAACGGAGAAAUAUUGCCUUAAAAAUUGUUUUGGAUUCGGUUUACUUACCGUACCACAUACCUAUUCAUUUUCGGCGUCUGAAACGUUUCGGAAAGUGUCCCUUAUGUAUUCCUCCGGGGUUACAGUUUCAAUAAUAUUGGUUUCAACAUUUUUGGGAUUACCAGAGAUAUAGUGUUUAAUUCUUUGACCGUUUACCACCUUCGGAUUUGUGCUUUCAAAGUUGUUGAUUUUUAUGGCACCAGAACGAUAGACCUCCUCGAUAACGUAGGGGCCUUCCCAUUUAGAGAGAAGUUUUCCUACAAAAAAUCUUAAACGAGAGUUGUAUAGCAAUACAUAAUCACCUACAUUAAACUCACGCUUUUGUAUCCUUUUGUCAUGCCAUCUUUUAACUUUUUCUUUAAACAACUUGGCAUUUUCAUAAGCUUGGGUUCUCCAUUCAUCAAGUGAGCUAAUAUCAAAUAACCUCUUCUCACCGGCAAGUUUAAAAUCAUAGUUGAGCUCUUUAAUAGCCCAAUACGCCUUAUGUUCUAGUUCGAGAGGUAAGUGAUAUACGAGAUAGAGUUGGGGUAGCACCAAUUGAGGAGAAGCUUGUCCAACAUCGUCUGAGAUGGUUUGGGCAUAUUCAGCGCAGGCCUCCAGAAGCUCCAGUGCAUAGCGGACGGCUAAAGCGUGCGGAGAAUGUCAAGAGAGGGCGGGGUAGACCGAAUUUGACAUGGGAGGAGUCCGUUAAGAGAGACCUGAAGGAUUGGAGUAUCACCAAAGAGCUAGCUAUGGACAGGGGUGCGUGGAAGCUUGCUAUCCAUGUGCCAGAGCCAUGAGUUGGUUGCGAGAUCUGAUGGGUUUCACCUCUAGCCUACCCCAACUUGUUUGGGACUAAAGGCUUUGUUGUUGUUGUUGUUGUUGUUGUUGACAUACCCAUAGGAUUUUUAUAUGCAGUUCUAUAAGCCCAUAAUGCAUCAUCAAGUUUCUUAGACCAAUUCUUUCUAGACCUAUUAACAGUCUUUUGCAAAAUUAAUUUGAGCUCUCUAUUGCUCAACUCUACUUGACCACUAGACUGUGGGUGAUAAGGAGAUGCAAUUCUAUGAUUAACAUCAUAUUUAGCAAGCAUUUUACGGAAAGCACCAUGAAUAAAGUGUGAACCACCAUCAGUCAUUAAAUAUCUAGGGACUCCAAACCUCGGAAAAAUAACUUCUUUAAGCAUUUUAAUAGAAGUGUUAUGAUCAGCACUACUAGUUGGAAUAGCUUCUACCCACUUAGUAACGUAAUCAACAGCAACUAGAAUAUGUGUGUAUCCAUUAGAGGCAGGAAAAGGUCCCAUAUAAUCAAAGCCCCAAGCAUCAAAUGGUUCAAUAACAAGAGAAUAAUUCAUAGGCAUUUCUUGACGUCUACUAAUAUUACCAAUUCUUUGACAUUCAUCACAAGACAAGACAAACUUACGGGAAUCCUUGAAGAGAGUAGGCCAAUAAAAACCAGAUUGCAAUACCUUAUGUGCAGUCCUAUCUCCAGCGUGGUGUCCUCCAUAAGCCUCGGAAUGACACUUGCGUAGGAUCUGUUCCUAUUCAUGCUCAGGUACACAACGUCUAAUAACACCAUCUACUCCUUUGUAAAGAUGUGGGUCAUCCCAAAAGUAAUGUCUCAAGUCAUAGAAGAACUUUUUCUUUUGCUGGUAUGUGAAGCUAGGUGGUAUAAACUUAGCAACAAUAUAAUUAGCAUAAUCAGCAUACCAUGGAGUGCUACGAGAAGUACUUAUAACAUUUAAUUGUUCAUUAGGAAAGCUAUCAUUAAUAGGUAGUGGGUCAUCAAGAAUAUUUUCUAACCUAGACAAGUUGUCUGCGACGGGGUUCUCAGCUCCCUUUCUAUCAACAAUAUGCAAAUCAAAUUCUUGUAGCAAGAGAACCCAUCUAAUAAGUCUAGGUUUAGCAUCUUUCUUUUCCAUAAGGUAUUUAAUAGCAGCAUGAUCAGUUUGAAUAGUUACUUUAGAAUCAACAAUAUAAGGUAUGAACUUAUCACAAGCAAAUACAACUGCUAAAAGCUCUUUUUCAGUAGUAGCAUAAUUUCUUUGAGCAUUGUCUAGAGUCUUACUAGCAUAAUGAAUAACAUUUAAUUUCUUAUCAACUCUUUGCCCUAGAACAGCACCUACAACAUAAUCACUAGCAUCACACAUAAUUUCAAAGGGUAAAUUCCAAUCAGGUGGCUGAACAACAGGUGCAGAGACUAAUGCUUUCUUAAGUACUUCAAAUGCUUCUACACAGUCAUCAUCAAAGACAAAUGGUAUAUCUUUUUGCAAUAAAUUAGUCAGAGGCUGAGAAAUUUUUGAGAAGUCCUUAAUGAACCUCCUGUAAAAUCCAGCGUGACCAAGGAAACUUCUUAUACCUUUGAUGUCCUUGGGACAUGGCAUCUUUUCAAUAGCAUCAACCUUGGCUUUAUCAACUUCAAUACCUCUUUCAGAAACUUUGUGCCCCAAGACAAUACCUUCAUUAACCAUAAAGUGGCACUUUUCCCAAUUCAAGACAAGAUUAGUUUCUUCACAUCUCUGCAAAACUCGAUCAAGAUUGCUCAAGCAAUCAUCAAAAGAGGAACCAUAGACGGAAAAAUCGUCCAUGAAAACCUUACAAAUCUUUUCACAAAAGUCAGAGAAUAUAGCCAUCACGCAUCUUUGAAAGGUAGCAGGUGCAUUACAUAAACCAAAAGGCAUACGUCUAUAAGCAAAAGUACCAAAAGGGCAUGUAAAAGUAGUCUUUGAUUGAUCUCUAGCCGACACAGGUAUUUGAGAGAAACCAGAAUAACCAUCUAGAAAGCAAUAGUGUGUAUGUUUGCAUAAUCUUUCUAGCAUUUGAUCAAUAAAAGGUAAGGGGUAAUGAUCUUUCUUAGUAGCUUUAUUUAAUUUGCGGAAAUCAAUUACCACCCUAUAACCUGUGAUAAUUCUUUAUGGAAUCAAUUCAUCUUUAUCAUUAGGAACAACAGUAAUACCUCCCUUCUUAGGGACACAAUGGACAGGACUUACCCACUCACUAUCAGCAACGGGAUAGAUUAUACCUGCCUCCAGAAGCUUUAGUAUUUCUUUUCUUACCACUUCUUUCAUUUUAGGAUUCAGACUCGUUGAGGAUCACGAACUGGUUUGGCAUCUGCUUCUAAAUUUAUUUUAUGUUGACAUAGAGUGGGACUAAUGCCCUUAAGAUCAUCAAGAGUAUAUCCAAUAGCAGCACGAUGCUUCUUCAGAGUUUUCAAUAAUCUUUCUUCUUCAUGCUCUCAAAGGUUAGCACUAAUAAUAACAGGAUAUAUCUUCUUUUCAUCAAGAUAAGCAUAUUUAAGAUUAUCAGGCAACGGUUUAAGCUCAAACACGGGAUCACCCUUGGGUGGAGGUGGAUAACCUAAAAUUUCAACAGGCAAAUUGUGUUGCAGAAUAGGUUCCUGUUUAAAGAAUACUUCAUCUAUUUCCCUUCUUUUAUUCAUGAACAUAUCAUUUUCAUGGUCUAGCAGAUAAUGUUCUAAAGGAUCACUAGGAGGUAUGGCAAUAGAAGCAAGACCAAUAAUUUCAUCCUUACUAGGUAAUUCUUCCUCACGAUGUUGUUUACUAAAUUUAGAGAAAUUAAACUCAUGAACCAUAUCAUCCAAGCCAACAGUAACAACAUUCUUUGUGCAAUCUAUGGUAGCAUUAACAGUAUUUAAGAAGGGUCUACCAAAUAUAAUGGGACAAAAGCUAUCUUGUGGGGAACCAAGAACAAGAAAAUCAGCAGGAUAUUUAGUUUUCCCACACAAGACUUCAACAUCUCUAACAAUUCCAAUUGGUGAAAUAGUAUCUCUAUUGGAAAGUUUAAUUGUGACAUCAAUACCUUCUAACUCAGCAAGUGCAAUUUCAUUCUUAAUUUCUUCGUAUAAGUCAAUAGGUAUAACACUAGCACUCGCACCCAUAUCACAUAAGCCAUGAUAACAAUGAUCUCCUAUUUUAACAGAAAUAACAGGCACGCCUACCACAGGUCUAUGUUUAUCUUUCUCACAAGGUUUAGCAAUUCUAGUAGUUUCACCUUCGAACUGAAUAACAUGCCCAUCAAUAUUAUUAGACAAGAUAUCUUUAACAAUAGCAAUAUUAGGUUCUACUUUAACUUGCUCAGGAGGUGUAUAAGUUCUAAUAUUGCUUUUACGAACAACAGUUGAAGCUUUAGCAUGAUCCUUUAUUCUAACAGGGAAAGGUGGUUUCUCAAUAUAAGAAGUAGGAACAAUAGGAUCAUUAUAAGUGACAGUCUUUUCUUCAACUUUAAUAGGUGCAGCUACUUUUACUUCUAUGGGAGGAUGAUAUUUAAACCACUUCUCCUUAGGGAGAUCAACAUAAGUAGCAAAAGAUUCACAGAAAGAAGCUACUAUCUCAGAGUCAAGUCCAUAUUUAGUUCUAAACUUACGAAAAAUAUCGGUGUCCAUAAAAGAUUUGACACAAUCAAACUUAGGUGUCAUACCUGACUCCUUACCUUCGUCAAGGUCCCAAUCUUCAGAGUUGCGUUUAAUUCUAUCUAAUAAAUUCCAUCUGAAUUCAAUAGUCUUCAUCAUAAAAGAGCCAACACAAGAAGUAUCGAGCAUGGUGCGAUUGUGUUCAGAAAGCUGAGCAUAUAAAUUUUGAAUAAUCAUUUCUCUUGAGAGCUCAUGAUUGGGGCAUGAAUAUAACAUUGAUUUAAGCCUCCCCCAAGCUUGAGCGAUGCUUUCUCCUUCGCGAGGGCAGAAAUUAUAUAUAUAAUUCCGAUCACGAUGAACAAGAUGCAUAGGGUAAUACUUUGGAUGAAAUUCCAACUUCAAUCUUUUAUAGUCCCAUGAUCUCAUAUCAUCACAUAGCCUAUACUAUAUCAAUGCGUCUCCCUUCAAAGAUAAAGGGAAGACCUUCUUCUUAGCAACAUCAUCGGGUAUACCUACAAGCUUAAAUAAUCCACAAACUUCAUCCACAUAUAUUAAGUGCUCAUCAGGAUGCUUUGUUCCAUCUCCUGUAAAAGGGUUAGCUAGCAGUUUUUCCAUCAUACCCGAAGGAAAUUCAAAAGGUGUUUCAUUUUCAAUAGGUUCAGUAGGUUGAGGAGCAACUCUAUGCUCUACUAGACGGGGUGAAGAUACCCCAAACAAGCCCCUCAGAGAAUUACUUUCCAUAGUAACAAGUGACAGUAAAUUUCAGCACACUAUAUAAAUUUUUCCUUUCCAAAUUCCACCUACCAAAGGCGCUACACUCCCCGGCAACAGAGCCAGAAAAGAGUCUUGAUGACCCACAAGUAUAGGGGAUCUAUCGUAGUCCUUUCGAUAAGUAAGAGUGUCGAACCCAACGAGCAGCAGAAGGAAAUGAUAAGCGGUUUUCAGCAAGGUAUUCUCUGCAAGUACUGAAAUAAGUGGUAACAGAUAGUUUUGUGAUAAGAUAAAUUGUAACGAGCAACAAGUAACAAAAGUAAAUAAAGUGCAGCAAGGUGGCCCAAUCCUUUUUGUAGCAAAGGACAAGCCGGAACAAACUCUUAUAAUAGGAAAAGCGCUCCCGAGGACACACGGGAAUGUCGUAAAGCUAGUUUUCAUCACGUUCAUAUGAUUCGCGUUUGAUACUUUGAUAAUUUGAUAUGUGGGUGGACCGGUGCUUGGGUGCUGUUCUUACUUGAACAAGCAUCCCACUUAUGAUUAACCUCCAUAGAAAGCAUCCGCAACUACAACAAAAGUAUUAAGGUAAACCUAACCAUAGCAUGAAACAUAUGGAUCCAAAUCAGCCCCUUACGAAGCAACGCAUAAACUAGGGUCUAAGCUUCUGUCACUCUAGCAACCCAUCAUCUACUUAUUACUUCCCAAUGCCUUCCUCUAGGCCCAAAUAAUGGUGAAGUGUUAUGUAGUCGACGUUCACAUAACACCACUAGAGGCUAGACAAUAUACAUCUUAUCAAAAUAUCAAACGAAUACCAAAUUCACAUGACUACUAAUAGCAAGACUUCUCCCUUGUCCUCAGGAACAAACGUAAUUACUCACAAAGCAUAUUCAUGUUCAUAAUCAGAGGGGUAAUAAUAUGCAUAUAGGAUCUGAACAUAUGAUCUUCCACCAAAUAAACCAACUAGCAUCAACUACAAGGAGUAAUCAACACUACUAGCAACCUACUAGCACCAAUCCCGGACUUUGAGACAAGAAUUGGAUACAAGAGAUGAACUAGGGUUUGGAGAUGAGAUGGUGUUGGUGAAGAUGUUGAUGGAGAUUGCCCUCUCCCGAUGAGAGGAGCGUUGGUGAUGAUUUCCCCCUCCCGGAGGGAAGUAUCCCCGGCAGAAAAGCUCUGCCGGAGCUGUAGAUUGGUUCCCCAAGGUUCCGCCUCGUGGCGGCGGAGUCUCGUCCCAAAAAGUUCCUUCCUAUUUUUUUCUCUUCGAAAGACUUCAUAUAGGAGAAGAUGGACGUUGGAGAGCCACCAGGGGCCCACGAGGUAGGGGGCGUACCCUAGGGGGGGCGCCCCCACCCUCAUGAGCAGGGUGUGGGACCCCUGGCCUUCAUCUUUGGCGAGGAUUUCUUUAUUUAUUUUAAGAUGUUCCGUGGAGUUUUAGGACUUUUGGAGUUGCGCAGAAUAGGUCUCUAAUAUUUGCUCCUUUUCCAGCCCAGAAUUCCAGCUGCCGGCAUUCUUCCUCCUUAUGUAAACCUUGUAAAAUAAGAGAGAAUAGCCAUAAGUAUUGUGACAUAAAUAGAAAUAACAGUCCAUAAUUCAAUAAAUAUCAAUAUAAAAGCAUGAUGCAAAAUGGACGUAUCACUCCACAGAGGCAUAGCUUUGCAUUACGCACAGUCACGUUCGUUUCUUUAACCCAGCGGAAUGGGUUGAGACGCCAACACUUACUAUUGAAUUUGUGAGGCACUGAAUGGCCUAUGUGAGGCACGCUGUUUUUAAAAGUUUGUUUCCUUGUUUUCAAAAGCACAGUCACGCUUCUUUCUUGAUGUUUCGUAUAUUACUCGAUAGAGGCGUGGAGUCGAUUAGAUGGGAGAGGUACGUGCAUGGUGUGGUAUUAUAUAGAGUCACGCUUGUCUGUGUUUGCGUUCCAAAUAAUUCCGUUGACUCGAUCAGAUGGAAACCCAGCGGAAAGGCACCAUUUGGUCUUACUCACAGUCACGUCCAUUUCUUUAAUUGCAGAAACCGAGCAGAAAGGGUUCAGGUGUGAUCACUCAUAGUUUACUCGAUGAGUCACGGAAUGGCUUGUUCGAGAGAAGCUGCUGUGGUGUAUUCUUUGCAUGGUGGCGGGUCCCAGGAAGUGACGGCGUGGUAUUCUCAAGAGUCACGUUAUGUUGUUUUCGUCUUCCAAAUGAUUCCGUUGAACCGUUCGCCACGGCAGGCACGUCCGUGCAACGCGAAGAGGCAUGGUUAUGCUUUACCAAGAGUCACAUUCAUGUUUUUAUCGCGGAAACCCAAUGGUUCGACGGGCGUCUCUUCGUAUUCGGGAGUGAACGCCAUGUGGCGCCGCUCCAGAAACCUAAUGGUCCGACGGGCGUCUCCUCCGGUGACGCCGCUCUGGCUCAUCGCCCGAGGCCAGGCUCCGACUAUUUAAGCAGGACGGGGUCUUGAAACCCUAGCCACAUUCAACUCCUCCCUUCGUCCGCCGCCAGGCCUUCCACUCCUGUUGCUCAUCACUAUUCACUGACCAUCUCCGCCAUGGCUGGGCAAAAGGAGACUACUCCAGACAGCUGUGCGCUGUCGCGGGAGGAGAUCCCGGCUCGCGAGGGUUCCUCGUCUGUAAGUUCACCCUGUUUCUGCUUCUCCUUCAUUCGUUUUUUCUUUCUUUCUUUCGGCUAACUCCUAAUUUGAUGUGGGUGUGUUUUGCUGAUACUGAUUUACAGUCAGUUGGAGCUAGGGUUAGUCUGCGUCAUGGUCUUGAACAGGAGUCCCCUUUUGUAGAAUUGGGGAGCAGCUAUGGCUCGAAAGAGAAGGGAAUGGUGAGUGGGGCGGCGACGGCAAGUGCUGUGAGGUCCUUGUUAGUUACUCUCAAUAACCUGGUCGAUGAGAUGAAUACUUUGGUUUCACUUCCAAAGGCUGACAAAACAUACGAGCAGCUACUGGAGAUCACCUACGCGUGGAAGAAGCUUUGGGAGGAAACAAGAGAAGAUUUGGAUAAGGCGAAUGCCAGGAUCGUAGAAAUUACGGCUGAGACGAAAAAUCUCCUUAGAGAGCACAUCCGGUCGUUGCAGGAAUCGGCCGCAGGUGUGAAGCAAUAUGACGAGAAUAUGAAGGCGCUGAAGGAGGAGAUUGAUGAACAGCGCCGGGAGCAAAGCAACAACAAGGUUGGUGGGACUAGGUACACAGCAUCGUCCCUGGCUGUUGUGUGCGUCUGUUGUUGUUAAGCAGUGGAGUGGAGUUUCUUACCUUGUCUUGUGAAAUUUCGUUGUCAGCUACCUUGCAAAUAAAAUGUAUUUUGGUUUCGAGUAUCGUUGUAAUUAGGCGCCAUUACUUAUGAUGCACGGGACAUGAAGUAUCUGCAUCCACGAUUGUGAACCUAGUAUUUGUAAUGACUUGUGUAUUGUUGAAGGCGUGUACGUUCGUGGCUUUUCUGUGUUGCAGUGUUUCGGGUCACAGACACGGGCUUGCAUCCCACAGAUUCAUGGUGUUGUUUUAUAUAGAGUCACGUUCGCCUAUAUUUGUGUUCGAAAUGUUUCCGUCGACUCGUUGAGAAAAAUAGGCACGUACGCAGGUGAAUCCCACAGGGGAAUGGUUUCGUCUUUUGCAUAGUCACGUUCAUACGUUUAUCAUGGAAAGAAAGCAGAAUGGGUUUAGAUGUUAACGCUAGCUGUUUGCUUUGUGAGAUUUGAGAGUCGAGUUGUUUAAAAGCGUAAGUUCCUUGUUUUUAAAAGCCACAGUUCUGUACCGAGUUACGUCGUGCUUCGUUUAUUAGAAGCACAGACGUGAAGUGAAUAUAGCCGCGGAUGAUGACUUGUGCACUGUUGAUGGCGUGGACGUUCGUGGCGGUGUUAAGGGUCACAGACACGGGCGUGAAGCACUAAAAGGCAUGCUACCGUAUAAUAUAGAGUCACUUUCCCGUGUGUUUGAGUUCCGAAUCAUUCUGACGACUCGAUCAGACGGAGAGGCACGGCCGUUCAACGCACAAAGGCACCGUCAGGUUCUUUCUUUAAUUGGGGAGACCCACCGGAAUUGGUUCAGAUGUGAACACCCACUGUUUUCUCUGUGAGGCACCGAAUAGCCUAUUUGAGAGAUGCUGGUGUGGUAUAUUCUUCGCACGGUCAUGGGUCCCAGGAAGGCACGACGUUUUAUUGUGUAGAGUGACGUUAGUUUGUCUUGGUGUUCCAAAUGGCAUGGUUUUAUGUAGAGUCUCGUUCGCCUGUAUUUGUGUUCGAAAUGAUUCCGUUGACUAGUUCAGUACAAGAGGCACGGACAUGAAUGCCAUCAGGGCAUGGUUGGGUCUGUCGGAGAGUCAUGUUUCGUAAGUUUAUUGUUGAAACAAAGCGAAAUGGGUUUAGGUGUUAAUGCUAAAUGUUUACUUUGCGAGUGACCGGUUCGAGAGUCGAGGUGUUUAAAAGCGUAAUUUCCUUGUUUUUAAAAGCCACGGCUCUGUGCUGAGUUUCGUGGCGCUUCUUUUAUUAGGAGGACGGGCGUUAAGUGACUACAUCUACGGUUCUGUAUCAGGUAUUGACAUGACUUGUGCACUGAUGAUGGCGUGGACACUCGUGGCAGUGUUAAGGGUCACAGGCAUGGGCAUGAAGCGCUAAAAGGCAUGCUGCCCUAUAAUAUAGAGUCACGCUCCCGUGUGUUUGUGUUCCUUAUGAUUCCGUCGACUCGAUCAGAAGGAGAGGCACCACCGUUCAGCGCACAAAGGUUCUUUAAUUGGGGAGACCCAGUGGAAUUGGUUCAGUUGUGAAUACCCACUGUUUACUCUGUGAAGCAGGGAAUGGCUUAUUCGAGAGACGCCGGUGUGGUAUAUUCUUCACACGGCUAUGGGUCCCAGGAAGGCACGUCGUCGCAUUGUGUAGAGUGAUGUUAGUUUGUCUUGGUGUUCCAAAUGAUUCCGUUGAAUCGUUCGCACUGAAAGACACAACUAUAUGCGUUACACGGAGUCACAUUCGUGGCGUCCCCUCGUAUUCGGUGUGAAUGCCGUUCCAGAAACCCAAGGGUCCGACGUGCGUUUCCUCCGGUGACGCCGUUCUGAAGAAGGUGGAGGUAUUUAAUAGAGUGAACGCCACGUGUUGGCGCUGCGGAAUCCAAAAGGACCGAUGGCCGUCUCAUCCGUCGGUGAAGUGAACGCCGCGUGUCACCGUUCCGUCGCCCGAGGUCAAGAAGCAGUUAUUUAAGCCGAGCGGCGUCUGCCACCACUAGACAUCAUCCUGCUUCUCCCUCUUUCGCCAGCAAUCUUAGGAAAUCACCCAUCUUCCUCUUUUUGUUUGUGAUGUUCCCCGCCAUGGUUCGGCACAAGAUAACUACUUAUGCGAUGCUUACUCCCGAGCGUCGCUUUUAGUUGCAGGAGGACAUCCGUUCAAGGCGCGCCACCCGGGUCGCAGAGGGCAUGUCUCCGGACUCGCCGGGGCCGGAGGAGAUUGGGGAGGUGGAGGAAGUGGAGGGGGAUCCGUCGGAGCUCAUGCAGGGAGUUGAUCCAGUUGGGGGAGAUGUGGUGGAGGAAGAGGAGGGGGUGACAAGGAUGAGGAAGAUGACGUUGGAAGGCAUGGACGAGGAUGAGGAGGACGACGAGGAAGGCAUGGACGAGGAUGAGGAGGACGCCAAGGAAGGUGUGGACGAGGACGAUGAGGAAGGCGUGGACGAGGAUGACGAGGACAACGAGGAAGGCGUGGACGAGGAUGACGAGGACGUCGAGGAAGGCAUGGACGAGGACGGCGAGGAGGCUGGUUACGAGGAAGACGAGGAUGAGGAGGAGUACGGUGACGAGGAAGACGAGGGGGAGUUCUAUCUCGGUGAAUCGGCCUUGAUGGCGGAGCAGACCGCUAUCCUAGAGUCCAUCCAAGAUGAGGCGUAUGUGGAGUCCAACCGGCGAUUCCUCCGGGAAGAGCAGACGAAGACCGAUGUGCUCUUCGACGAGCUGGAUGCGGAGCAGGAGGCGGAGGCCAACGACGUUGAUGUCAGAAUGGAGAUAGUGGACAUCUCCGACGCCAGGGAGUAGUGUAGUUUUGUUGGUAGAUGUUUGCUUUUCCAUGCUUUUUAUGCUUUUCAUGUUUUCUGUGUCUGUAAAGGUUGAACAAUGUGUAGCAAUCAUCGUUGUCAGAACGGAGACAGUUUCGUUUCCAUGUCAAAAAAUCGUGUUUUGUUCCUAAGUAGUAGUACUACGCCGUCCAAAAUAAAUGUGUCAACUUUGCAGUACAAUUCAUGUUGUACUGGUUAGUACAACGUUGAGCGAAUUAAUUUGUGAUGGAAGGUGUAUGUUUUAUUACAAAUUGCAGUUUUAAGUACCAUAUUUGGGUCGGAAGGCGUAUAUUUUAUUACACUGUAUUGUUUUAUUAUAGAUUGCAGUUUCAAGUACAAAAUAAACGUCUCAACUAGGGCACAUAUUUGAUUCUAGAGAUUUCAGUGUGGUUAGAUUUGAUUAUGGUUUCAACAUUGUUAGAGUCUAGAGAGGCACUCAACAACAUGCAUAAAAAAACCACAGAUGUGCUUUUGAGAAGCACCGUCUUGCAUGGUUUUACCGCAAGAUGGGAUUCGACAUUUAUCCAGGACAUUCGGGGUUUUAUAAGUGCAGAAAGAAUUGUUUUUCACUUAUAUGUUGUGUGGCAGAGGCAUGGCAAUUACUUUUGUGAGAGGCAUGAAUGUGCCGACGGAACGGGCACGAUCACGUAUGAAAUAGGUGCAAGGUGGUCCCUAAUGUCUCCUUAAGGUAUCAUCUAUACACUUUACUGUUACAAGCACGAUCGUCAUUCUUGUCGAGGCACGGAGGUGAAGGAUGGAGCAUUUGCGUCUGCCAUAGUCACGUCCUAUAUUAAGGAGGAAGCAAAUCUUCACGUCUGCGAUACGUCGGAAGCUGGCUGUAAGGCACGCUCCUACCUCUGCGUUUUCGUUGACGUCACGUUUAGUGCCAGUGGGGUGGACGUAAUGCUCGGUUUGCUGAUGUUUUUGUUCUCAGCAACUUUCUUAACAUGUUACGCCCGAGAGAGGUAUGGUGUUACCCGACGUAGAAGCUCACAGUGCACAGAGAACAGGAAAACCGAAAGACGAACUUCGGUAGUGAGGGCGUAGAUGAAGAGCAUGUGUGCGAUAGUUUGACAGUUUCUUUCACAAAUCAUGGAAAUAGGUAGUAAAACUCAAGCACCUGGAGAUUGUUCAAUCUGGGGGACUCAAGCCAGGCGUGGACAGUAGAGAGUCUGCAUUGGAGGUAGCAUGCCGGUAUACAAAGGCGGAGAACUGCGCCCACAUGGCUGGAGAAGAUGGACUCUGGAAGGCAAGAACCAUCACCAGGAACUGUUUAUCCCUGAUGCCAAGUUCCAAUGUAUCGUAUACGAGAAAGCUCCUCGCUGUAGGCAGAGACCCUACUUAUGAUCUCGACAUGAAUUGUUUCUAGGGCGUUAAAAAGAUGAGCGACAGGGAUCUCACGGCAGUCAAGAUUCAGAGGAGCGGUCGGCCAAACAGGACGCCAACGACGAGCGAGCAUCCGAGUGCAGAUGCCCUCCCUAGUGGAGAGACGGGAGAUGACCUCGCCGAGGAUGGCGUCCGGGAGAUCGCUGAUGCGGUUCGGACCAGACUGCUCUUUCUGAUCCUCGGAUCCGGUAGGUGCACCCUCACCGCUUCCAGCGGCUACCGCCAAACCACCAGAGGACGGUGUCGCCGGUGGUGCGAGCUUCGCCCUCUUAGUGCAUGGCGCACCGGAGUGGAUCUCCAUCUCUGUCUCCGUUGUUGUGAUCGCGCUGCCUGCGAGUGCCGCUAUAUGUGGUGUGGAUCAGAAAAGCCCAAGUAAAAGGGUGUGGCUGGGGUUUCGAGGCGCCGUCCGUUCGCCUUAAAUAGCCGGAGCCUGGCCUCGGGCAACGAGCCAGAGCGGCGUCGCUAGAGGGGACGCCCGUCGGACCCUUGGGUUUCGGGAGCGGCGCCACAUGGCAUUCACACCCCAAUACGAGGAGACACCCAUCGAAACAUAACUGGGGACGGGAGGGAAGGGGAGAAGAGUGCAGAGAUCCGUUCAAAAUGAUUCCGUUGACUCUAUCACCAGGAGAAGCACGGUAUGGCGGCUCAGACAGACAUGCUUGCUUUUUACGUGGGGUCACGUUCGUGCGUUUAUAGCGGAAACCCGCGGCAGCCGCCUCAUCCUUGAUUCAGUGUUUCGGGUCACAGCCACGGGCAUGAAGCGUUCAAAGGCAUGGUCGGUGGUAUUACAUAGAGUCACGCUAUCCUGUGACUCUAUCAGACGAAGAUGCAUGUGCGUACAGCCCUCAAAGGCAUGGCGUGCUAUUAUAUAUAGUACAAAGGUUUUCUGGUUGUAUUCCGAAUGAGUCGGUGGGCUCGGUCAAAAGGAGAGGCAAGCACGUUAAGCCCUCGAAGGCAUAGUUUGUUCUUACUCGGAGUCACGUUUGUGCGUUUAUUACGGACACCUAAUAGAUUCGGGCGACUCUCCUUGUUAGAAUUGUUUUUCGUUGUAUUAUUUUAAUUCAAAUGCAAGAAGACGACUUUUUAUCUGUCAGUGUUUUAGGUCACAGGCACGACUGUCAAGCCAACAAAUGCACGAAGGCGACUUUAUAUGUUUAGUAGCGUGACUGUCCUUUAUGCGUGUCAGUGUUUUAGGUCACAGGCAUGGUUGUCAAGCCCACAAAUCGCAUGUCAUGUAAUUAUCCAGAGUCACCUUCGUGUCUCUUUGUGUUCCAAAUGCAUCCGUUGACUUUAUUACCAGGACAUGCACGGUCGGGAUGUCGAGCGAGGCAUGCGUGUGUUUUACGCGGAGCCACGUUUGUGCUUUGAUUGCGGAAACACAAUGUUUCGACGGGCGUCUCCACCUACUCGGGGUGUGAACUCCACGUGGCGCCGCCACGGAAACCCAAGGGUCCGACGGACGUCUCCUCCGGUGACGUCGCUCUGGCUCGUCGCCCGAGGCCAGUCUCCAGCUAUUUAUGGCGGACGGACGGAGUUUCAAAACCCUAGCCACAUACUCUUCCAUCCUCUGCCCACCGCCAGGCCAUUCAUUCCUCUUGGUGCUCUCUAUCCUCACCCUCUCCGCCAUGGCUGGUCAGGAGGAGACUACUGCGGAACCCAGUGUCCAGACACUGCAGGAGAUCCAGGCUGACAAGGGCUCCUCAUCUGUAAGUUUACUCUGCUUCCGCUUCAUUCUUUUUUCUUUCCUUCGGCUACUUGGUUUAGUUGUGAAACGUGAAUAAGCCAGACGGAGUCUCGAAACCCUAGCCACAUCCCCUUCGUCCUUUUGUCCGCCUCCAGGCCAUCCACUCCUUUUGCUGUUCUCUAUCCUGACACUCUCAGCCACGGCUAUGCAGAAGGAGACUCCUCCAGAGCGCCAUGUCCAGCCGCAGGAGAAGAUCUCGCUAGCGAGGGUUCCUCAUCUGUGAGUUCUCUCUGCUUCGCCUUCAUUCAUUUUUUAUUUCUUUCGGCUAAUUGAUUUAGUUGUGAAACAUGGAUCAUUAUGGUGAGCUUCAUCCUAAUGUUGAUGAGGGUGCGUCCUGCCAUCAAUCUGACAUAUUCUCCUUUGACCAGUUGAAGAACCUGUUCAAUGCUGUGGAAGACUUCCUGAAGAUAUCCACGAAGUUGGACGAAGAGAACAAAGCCGUCAUUGCACUUCUGAUGCAUGAGAAGGCGUAGCUCGAACUUCAGCGCGAUAAGCUGAAGCUGCAAUCAUACGUUAUGAAGAAACAUAUCGAGGAACUUCGCGUCGAGCAACCAAAAAAGAAGUAUCGCCGGACUAAGUAGAAAGCAUCGACCCUGAUCCUCGUAUCUGAAGCUGUCACUAAAAGUUUCUUAUGUUGUCAUCCGUUACCUUGUGCCGUCAGUAACUUUGAUAACAAAUGUGUUCCUGGGCAUGUUCAUUCCAAGUUUAUGGGUACGGAUGAACAUUAACGUAAUGGCCAGUUCUAGAGACGUUGUUUUUAAAAGCACGGACGUGAAGUCUCGGCAGCCAAAGUUUUUGAACCAAUUAGAGUCACUAGUCGUCAACCCGUGCACCUGCACGGGCUAGCAAUUAUAAUAUUAGAUAUAACAAAUUUUUGAGGAAAUGGAAAUUUGAAACAAUAAUUUACAUAUGUUGAUGUAGGUUAUUAUUACCACUCAUGCACAUAGGGUCCAAUGAAGUUACAUUGCUUCGACUAUUUUGUGAUUAGAUUGUUUGCAUCCAAUUGUGUCACACGGUAUAAGUAAUAUCGCUAUGUGAUGGCGAACCACGUAAGAUUUAUGGCUGAUAUGUGGAAAUAUGGAUGUCCUACUUUAUCAAGAUUACAUAAAAGUAUAUGUGUUAUGUUGGUAUAAAACAUGGUUACAAACGUAGAAGUUGGUUCAUGUAUCAUAUGUACUCGUAAUCUAAAAUUUUCUAAAAAGAUAUAAAGAUGAAGUUCCCUAUUGUAGCAUAUAUCUUACUUUCUUACUAAAUCUAAAAAGGACAUGCAUCUUCCUUUUUGCAACGGAAGCACGAUAGGAUUAAAAAGACUUUGUUUCUAUAUAGAAUAAUAGACACAUACACCGUAUCGCAUGCAAGUUUUUAAAGAAUUUCUUUUGUGAUUAAUCUACAUGGGAAGAUUUUAAUAUUUUCUAUCUAUACGAUAUAUAUCUAUAUCGCAUAGACAAUGAUGUUAAUAUGAGAGGAAAAGUAGUGGCUGUAGAAAAACUAUACUGUUUAUAUGAGAUGUUUGUGCCACAUGGUACAAUCAAAAUCUUUUUUAUUAAUAAUUCAGCAAGUUAUAUGUAAAUAAUGAUGUUUUAAUUGCUAUUAUUUAUAUCUUUUUUAUUAGGAUGAAAAAUACAUGUAUAUACAUACUAUAUUUGUGAACACAUAUUAGGAAUUUGCACCUUCAAAGAAUCAUGUUAAUCCUUUUUAUAAAGGAAUUUUUUCCUUGUUUCUUUUUUUGAGGAUGAGGAAGAGAUGUUGUUCCUUUAUUAUGUGAUUGUUUUUUUUUCUUUCUAAGUCGAAAGAGUAUUUUCUUUAUAGACUUUCAAUGGACAUCAAAUGGAUCUUUUUCUUUUUCUUUGCAUGGGUGGAAUAUCUAUGGAAGGAAGCAAUCCUUUUUAUAUAAUUAACCCAUUGAUGAUUUUUUUCUUUUCUCUCACUAACAUUACGUGUAUGUGUUUUUUUUGCCGUGCCAUAUAUAUGUUACAUAUAAGUUUCAGCUGCGAGGAGUCAUGAGAGAAAUAUUUUUCCUUUUUUGUGUGACUGUUUAUUUUUCUUUUCAAUCGGGAAAAAGGAAGAUUUUACCGAUGGACUUUAAAGCGUAAUCAAACAGAUCUGAUUUUUUUUCUCAUCGCUGUAGUUUUUAUGGAAGGAGAUUAUCCCUUAUUUAGUAAACCGUGGACUCUUUCCUUGUUUUAUUUCACCAAAGUUGUACGUCAGAUUUGUUCCUUUUUUAUCGUUGGAGUUUUUAGCGAAGGAGAUUAUCCUUUUUUGAGGGAAACGUGGACUCUUUCCUUUUUUUCCUUUUCAGCGCCCAUUUUUUAUGGAAGGAGCCUAUCUUUUUUUAUGGAACAGUGGCUGAUUUUUUGUUUUCUUUCACCAAUGUUAAACGCGUCGGAUGAACUUUUUGGACCAUCUGUGUUACGUACAUUUUUAUUUUAUCUUAGACGUAAAUUCUACAAUCCAACGGUGUAAAUAAUUUUGAAGAUGUGGAUUAAUGAAAAGGCUUGAAAGGUGCCUCCAAUUAUAAGAUAUAUAAGAUGUCUUGUGCACACAUGAAGGCGCCCUUUCUUUGUUCAGUGUUUCGGGUUACAAGAAGGCAUAGUCGAUGGUAUUACAUAGAGUCACGCUAGCCUGCGACUCUAUCAGACAGAGACGCACGUGCGUUUAGUGUUAAGGGUCACAGGCAUGAGCAUAAAAUGCUCAAAGGCAUGGUUGGUGGUAUUACAGACAUGAACUCUUGUUAAUAAAAGUUCACAAGAUAUGAACUCUCUACGAACACAAUUGCGUACUCAGUUGGGUCACGCUUUUUUCUUGAUGUUACGUAUAUUAUUCGAUAGAAGCGCGGAGGUUUGGAUACUAAUGGUUACAGUGUUAAGGUUCACAGGCACGGGCGUACAGUCCUCAAAGGCAUGAUAUUGUAUUAUAUAGAGUGACGCUCGCCUGUCUUUGUGUUCCGAAUGAUUCCGUCCACUCAAUCAGAUGAAGAAGCACGGUCGUUAAGCCCACUAAGGCAAAGCUUUGUCUUACACACAGCCACGUUUACUUUGUGAGGCACGGAAUGACUUAUUCGAGAGACGUUGGUCUGGUGUAUUGCUUGCACGGUCGUGAGUCCCAGAAAGUCACGGCUUGCCAUUGUGUAGAAUCAUGUUAGUUUGUCUACGUGUUACAAAUGAAUCCGUUGAACUGUCCGCGAGCACAGGCACUGCCAUGAAGCCCGGACAUGCAUGGGUUAUGCUUUACAUGGGAUCACGUUCGUGCGUUUAUAGCGGAAACCCGCAGCAACCGCCUCAUCCUUGAUUCAGUGUUCCAGGUCACAGGCACGGGAAUGAAGCGCUCAAAGACAUGGCCGGUGGUAUUACAUAGAGUCACGCUAGACUGCGACUCUAUCAGAGGAAGAUGCACGUGCGUUUAGCCCAUGGAGAUGAACCUUUGACCCACAGCCACGGACGUUUACUCUGCGAGGCACAGAUUGGCCUAUAAGAGAGACGCUGUUUUUAAAAGCUUAUUUCCUUGUAUUUAAGAGCACGGACCUGCAGUCCAUACAGACACCGUUCCGAACUGAACUGUGUCACGCUUCUUACUUGAUAAAGGCGUUGACGUUCGUGGCUGUCUGUGUUUCAGUGUCAAGGGUCACAAGCACAGGCAUACAGCCCUCAAAGGCAUGGUGUGCUAUUAUAUAGAGUCACGCACAAGGGUUUUCUGAUUGUAUUCAGAAUGAGUCGGUGGUCUCGGUCAAAAGGAGAAGCAUGGACAUCAAGCCCUCGGAGGCAUAGUUUGUUCUUACUCGGAGUCACGUUUAUGCGUUUAUUACAGAAACCUAAUAGGUUCGGGCGACUGUCCUUGUUAGAAUUGUUUUCAUUGCAUGACAUUCGUGCCUUUAUUGGGGAAACCCAACGCUUCGACGGGCGUCUCCUCAGAUUCGGCUGUGAAUGCCACAUGCUGUUGCUCAGUAAACCCAGUCGUCCGAUGGGCGUCUCCUCAAUAAAUAGUGUUGGUACCCUAGCUAAUAACAACAUAUAUCAACAUUGGUCCUAGUUGCAGCUUCACAGGACCACUUAUGCCACACAUGGAGCACAGCCUCGGUGCAUGCUUUUUUCGUGUGUCUGUGUCUGGAUAGAUGUCUCAAGGAAAUGCAAAGUGGUUCGGCCAAACACACUACAUCAGCCGAAUUGGUUCGAAUACCCGUGAGGCAGUUGGAAAUGCCAAUUUUUUUUCUAUGGGUACCGACACGUAGGGUCCCCUCAUCAUCCACACAAAUGCGCCACCACAUGUACCACAUUUUUCUAAGUGCACCUAGUACUCCACAUCAUUUUCAACUUCUUCCUCCCCUUCUCGACUAGCACUGCCGCCGCCAUCUCCCGACGACGCAUCUCUUCGCCGCCUGAUCUGCCGGCCGCCACCAACUCUGGCAAGUAGGUGAGAUCUCCCCUCACCCCCCUCGCGAAUCUUCUUCCCUUCCUAAACCGCAUGCAUCUCCCUCCGGGCGCAGAUCUAAUCCAGAAAUUUUAUUUGAUCCAUGCGGUAGAUGAUUUGUUGAUAGAUAUGAUGGUUCUUUGUUAGAUUGAUGGAUGUCGUAGUGUAGGAUCUGAGCCGUAAGAGGGAAAAGAGAGAAAGCACCGUGUAUUGUACUAUGGUAGCAUACAAUUCAACUUAGAGUUCAAUAUGUUCUUUGUAGAAUGGAGGAAGUAUCGUGUCGACUAUGCAAGUCACGGUGCCGGACCAGCCUUUGUACUGCCACGCUGUUCGGCAUCUACUUCCACCCUACUUUUGUUUUUGCAGCGGUAACAAUUUAUAUGAACCUUCCGAUAGUUCAUUAAUUUUGUUUUUUUAUUGCUAUUUCCACUAAUGCAUUGUGUUUGUUAUUUGUUUUUAUGUUGCACAGAUCGUCCCAUGCAAUGUGAGAUUGGCAUUCAAUGAGCUCGUCGGAGACACCGUGACCUUCGACGCUCUUGGGGGGCGUACACUAUGCAGGUCGAUAAGGGGCGAACGAUAACCCAGAUUGGAGGAGAUGAAUGGGAUCGCUUCAUCGCCCGCUUGCGUCUUAGUGGGGGUGAAUUGACCAGCUUCUCCUUCAGAGCAGAAAGGCCCAAGAUUUCUGUUAUCUAUCUGAAUUUGAUUUUCGAUAGUGAGGAUGAAGUUCAUGAGGAGGACGAUGGUGAGGAUUCAGAUGAUGAUGAGAACCCACUUGAUUAAGCACUCUAUGCCCAAAGACUGAGGCUGAGCGGCGAUGAAACGUGCAACCUCUGGGACAUGCUUCCGCUACGUGAAGACUACGUCGGGAUGCCAUCCGUGACACGCCUCACAAGGACUAAUGUUAAAUAGCAUCUCAUGGUAUGUUACUUAUUGUGGUAAUUACACGAUAUGCAUGCUUAAUAAGUGUACUAGUUGAUAUGAUAUGCAUGUUGUAGUACUGUGAUAUAUCCUUAUGUAGUGUAGUAAUAUGCAAUGAUGUGGUUAGUGUACGUAGUAAACUAAUGAUAUGCUUAAUUAUUGUAGUAAUUUGAUGAUUAGCGUCUAGUGUAGUGAUGUAAUGAUAUAUAUGCUCAGUGUUGAAUCCAAUGAUAUAUGUGUCUUCAAGUGUAUGAUUUGCUGAUAAUUGCAUGUGACAUGCUCAUAUAUCAUACCAACUGUUUUCAGAAAUUACCUAAGAGGUUAUCUGUUAGUUGUGGCAUCGAGACGCAUGAAGAAGGCAUGGCUGCUGGACUGCGCCUUACCAGAACGGGCUCCAUCACCACCUAUGCCUACGCAGUGGACACGGACGGUUGCACUGUCUUCAACCGGGUGGGGUGGAAGAAGUUCCUUCAUGGCAAGAAUCUUCGGGUAGGUCAGGGCAUCCUACUCACUGUUGCGAACACCCGUCGCCGUGAAUUGAGGAUGAUGAUCACCAUCAACCUCAUUUAGAAAUGGCUGGGCCAUGUUUCGAUGUGAAAUGAACUUGAUAUGUUAGCUCUUUUUUCCAAGUACUUGCCGUGUAUUACCAUACCAAUCUAUCUAUAUAUAUCUAGGUUCAGUAAAUAGGCCGUGUAUCGCUGUGAAAUGAACUUGUUAUGUUUCGGGCUUGUUUUGCUGUUGCCCCAGCAGUUAAUUGAGACUUCCUUCAACUUGAAACUGUCUUGACUUGUUGUUGGAUGCUUGGUGUUGUUGCUUUAUUUGAGACUUCCAUCAAUCCUAUUGAUGAGAAGGCGAAGGCGAAGCUCGCCCUUCAGUAUGACACAUACGUUAUGACAAGCUCAAGCUGGACACAGGCACGGGCAUGAAGCGCUCAAAGGCAUGGUCGGUAGUAUUAUUACAUGGACUCACGCUAGCCCGUAACUCUAUCAUACGGAGAUGCACAGGCGUUUGGCCCACAGAGCCGAACCUCUGUCUUACGCAAAGGCAUCAUGUGGUAUUAUAUAGAGUCAUGUUCGCUUGUGUCUGUUUUCCAAAUGAUUCUGUUGACUCGUUUAGACAGAGAGGCUGGGGGUGAGAAGCCCAUCGAGGCAUACUUUAGUAUUAGAGAGAGUCACGUUCGUGCGUUUGUUGCGCAAACCAAACAGAACUGGGUUCUGAUAUGAACACUCGCCGUUUACUUUGUGAGGCAAUGAGUGGCAGAUUAGGGAGACACUGUUUUUGAACCUUUGUCUUACGCACAACCACAAGCGUUUUCUCUGUGAGGCAUGGAAUGGCCUAUGCGAGGGGCGUUGUUUUAAAAAUCUUAUUUCCUUGUAUUUAAAAGCACGGACAUGAACUCCCUACGGACACGGUUCCGUAUUAAGUUGCGUCAUCCUUCUUUCUUGAUGUUACAUAUAUUAUUCGAUAUAAAAGGCAUAGACGUUCGUGGCUAUCUAUAUUUGCUUGUAUUUAAAAGAUAGCGACGGCACGCUUUUAAACAAAGCACAAGCACAGUGGUUCCACGACAAGCACGUCUCAAUUUGUAGAAACGGCAGUGUCGUGAUUCUACGGGACACUAUGUUCUAGGCUGUGCACCAUGUUUCCACCCAAACGUUCACCACAGGGUCAUGGACAUACACAAAGGAAGUGCCGUGUUGUGAUAACAGACGCACAGUUUUACAGGUACGAGAGGCACGAGGAGGCAUGUAGAUUAACAUCACCACAAAUGAAACAUGCGCACGCAUACAGAGAGAUGCAUAAAAAGUGGACUACAAGAGAUAAACUAAGUUGGUAAUACUAAACGACCGAUGGUAUUAAUUAAUAAUGGAAAUUAACGACAGACAUACAAUAUUAGAGUCAAAUUCAUAGUAGAGCACACACAAUAAAUAGAAGUCCUGAUCAUGAUAGAUCGACUGGGUCACUGGAAACUCAAAAGUAGUAGUAGCUAGCACAAACAUAUAGAACUUGCCUCCAAGCAUGUGGGAUGUGGCUUGCAGCAAAUGAACGGAGAGCCAAGGCAAGGAUCUAAUCAAGGCGCCCGGGCUUGUGCCCUUGAUGGUCCAGAGGUUGAACGAGAAGUGGGGGCGGCGUCGGCGAGGUGGAUGUGCUCCUGAAUGAGCUUCACCAAAGUUUGCCUGUGGUCGAAGUAGGCCGCCAUGCUCGACUCGUGGACGGCGCUGCAGCUGUCCUCGUAAACAAUUUGUCCGUAGAUCUGGCUGAACUUGUCGAUGUCAUCAUGCAUGAUGAGGCGCUGCAUGGCGAGGGCGACCUCCAGGUGUUCCUCCGGCGGCGUGCCGACCUGGAGCUGCAGGGCCAUCAGCGCGCGAAAGAGAUCAUUCCCAUGGAGGCCGGCGAGCCGGGUCGUGGAAACCGAGGCGAAGGCUCGGUCUUUAUGGAGGUGACGCAUGGAAUGGAGGCGAGCAGUCAGGUCCUUCACCUUGCUAUUGGCGAAGCUGAACUUGUGAAUGAAGUCUUCCAGUGCACCCUUGAGCCAAGUGGCGAAGCUGGCAUCGAAGAAGGAACGCGCUGUGGCGGACAUCAGCAGCCCCUGGAGGCACUGCAGCGCGUUGGGCUACGGGUUGCUCUCCCUGACCACCUCGAUAAGACGUACGGUGGUCGCCUGAAUCGCCUCCAUCACCGAUCUCUCACCGUCUCGCUCUUGCUCUGAUGGCCAGAUACUUGGAUCGGAGUAUAAGAAGAUGGAUGGUGACACUUUUAAGCAAAGCACAAGCACAGCGGUUCCACGACAAGCACGUCUCGAUUCGCAGAAACAACACUGUCAUGUUUCUACAAGACACUAUGUUCUAGAGUGGGAAGCGUGUUUCCACCCAAAACGUUCACCACAGAGUCACGGACAUGCACAAAGGAAGUGCCGUGCAGUGAUAACAGACGCACAGUCUUACAGGUACAAGAGGCACGCCCGCUUCUGUAUUGUAAAAUACCUCAUCUAACGAGUUAUUUGGAGAGGCACGGCCGUAACAUCACACGUGACUGCAUAUUCCAGAUGAUUUUAGUCGCUCGCUCUAUUCACAAAAGGAAAUCCAAACAUACAAACGGUGCACAAAAACAUGAAAACUUGAUAGUUUUUUGAGCUUGUAAGUUGCUUCACGGCUGAAGAUCACAAAAACAAGUUCCUGACAACCUUACAGACAAUGGAUAAAGUACAAGCUCGAAGUCCAAACUGGAAAGCACGCAACAACACCUAUCUCUGACGUCCGGAUAACCGUUUUCAACAUCCACAGGUCAAUGGAUCCGGCAAAUCCAUGAUUGGACACUGGUUUGUCCAGAUGUGUACUUUUAAAUCUAAGUUCAUAUGCCUACAAUACCCUAGCAAUAUAAGACGAGCACGUCUAGAAGCCUUGUUGCCCCAUUGAAUCACCUCUUCUUGAUGUUCAUAAAAUCCUUCANNNNNNNNNNNNNNNNNNNNNNNNNNNNNNNNNNNNNNNNNNNNNNNNNNNNNNNNNNNNNNNNNNNNNNNNNNNNNNNNNNNNNNNNNNNNNNNNNNNNNNNNNNNNNNNNNNNNNNNNNNNNNNNNNNNNNNNNNNNNNNNNNNNNNNNNNNNNNNNNNNNNNNNNNNNNNNNNNNNNNNNNNNNNNNNNNNNNNNNNNNNNNNNNNNNNNNNNNNNNNNNNNNNNNNNNNNNNNNNNNNNNNNNCCUUUGCGUUCCGAACAAAGAACUUUGCAAAUUCAAUGUUUUUGUUGCAGUGUACAUAUUUUUCCAGCGUUACUGUCUUCAAGAGAAUGUCAUGCUGUUUCAGAAACACCCGGUGCUUGUGGAGCCACUUAUUUGUUACACCUUCCUCGCGACAUACUCCUCCCUGAAAAUGCGUGAAGAGUGAGAAUACUCGAGGAGUACAAAAGGAGGUAGAGGCCUCGAAUAUAGUACGCUGUGCAUUGUAUGUGCUUACAAUGUGUCUGGAAAUCGUUACCUCGAUAAACAGGUUCUCUAGGCUAGGAAAGCAUCGCAUCAAGGCAACAACCUUGUUCAAAUUUAAUGACAUGUGGAUAAGCAGGGUCUUCACAGAUUGAACUGCCAUUGUUAGGCUGACUACAGACAAAGCCUGCGACAAGCACAUAUCAUAAAAUUAGCUGGAUAAAAGGUCGCGUGACAUGAAACUUCGGCACUGCAAGGAAUGCAAGUAAAGAGUAUAGUGCAAAAGGUGAGAACCUCGAUAACUGUAGAGCCAAAAACAAUCUUGGAUUUAGGAAAUCCUUCAUAAAAAUUACCCAAACACUCAAGCUUAGGUGCAUGAAAGACAGUUAUCUGCAAGUGCCGGCUCUGAAUAUCGUGAAUCAAUCGUUUAAGUGAGGGCACAUCCUCAACAACGAGUUCACCAUUCUCACAAAGGAUACAUAUGACUUCAGCUUUGCCUGAGUUUAUUAUGAUUCAGUGGUCCAAGUUAUUGCAAACAAGCUGGAGCCACUCGAGGGCAGGGCAACCAUGGCUGAUUAUGCUUUGCAGUGAGACGUCUGAUAUAUCAACUUCCAAAAACGAAAGCCUCUUGAGGAGUAGAAGUUUAAAUGAUCAUGCAUACUUGUCAGGUAUCUGGCAAAGAGCAAAUGUGACGGUGUGCAGUGAGGAGGUAAACAACAGCGUGGAAGUCGACGGUGAGGGCGCAGACGAAGAGAUUUCGUGUGGUAGUGUGAUGGUUUUUCCAACAAAACCUGGGAACAUGUAAUAGAACUCAAGAACCUGGAGAUUCUUCAGUCUUGGGGGUCGAAGCCAGGCGUGAACUAUGGAGGGUCUGCAGUGGAGGUAGCACGCCAGAAUGCAGAGAUGAUGAACUGUGCCACCAUGACCGGAGAGGAUGGCUUCCGGAAGGCACGGACCAUCAACGUUAGGUUGAAAACUACACCGAGUUCCAAAAUAUCUAAUGCGAAUGACAUCCUUACUGGGGAGCAUGGACAAUACGUCUAUAUGAACUGUUUCUAGGGGCUUAAAGAGACGUGGGACAGGGAUCUCACUGCAGUCGAGAUUCAGAGGAGUGGUGUGCCAUAAAGGACGCCAUCGACGUGCGAGGAUUUGAGUGCGAACGCCUUCCUUAGUGGACAGACGGGAGAUCACUUCACCGAGGAUGGCAUCCGGGAGGUCGCUGAUGCGGUCGGGACCAGACUGCUCUUCUUGAUGCUCGGAUCCGGUAGGCGCAUCCUUGCCGCUUCCAGCCGCUACCGCAAAACCACUAGAGGAAGGCGUCGCCGGUGGCGCGAGCCUCGCCAUCUUGGUGCUCGGGGCACCAGAGUAGACCACCAUCUCCGUCUCCAUUGCUGGGAUCGUGCCGCCUGCGAGCGCUGCUAUCUGUGGCGUCGAUCUGGACAGACGGUGGAUCUGGAGAAAUGGAAUAGCCUGUCCAUCCAUGAAACGACUUAAAUACGGGUCCAGAUUAAUUACUUCUUCUAGUAUUUUUCUUUCUGACAGGAUGGCCCGGGUUAAGUACUACAUGUAGCAAGUCAAUGGUAGAUGGGUGCUUGAUACAUUAAAUAAAACCACGACUUUCAAGGUACGAAGGCAUGGGCUAGCACUCUCUGUAGCCACAGAUAUGUACGUUUGUGACUCUCUGUGUUUCAGUCACUAGGGCCACAGGCACAGGCGUCAAAUCCACAAAGGCAUCGUGUGCUAUUAUAUAGAGUCAUGUUCUCUUGUGUUUGUGUUCUGAAUGAUUCAGACGACUCGUUCAGAUGGAGAGGCACGGACGAGAAGCCCAUGGUAGCAUACUUUAGUAUUAGGCAGGGUCACAAUCAUGCGUUUAUUGCGCAUAGUCAAUGAUAUUACAUAGAGUCAUGCUCGCCUGUGAGACUCGACCAGACGGAGAUGCACGACCGUCUAGCCCACGGAACUGAACCUUUGUCUUACGCACAGCCAGGGGCGUUUACACUGUGUGGCACGGAAUUGCCUAUAUGAGAGAUGCUAAUUUUAAAAUCUCAUUUCCUUGAAUUUAAAAGCAUAGACGUUAAGUCCAUACAGACACGGUUCAGUACUGAGUUGCGUCAUGCUUCUUUCUUGAUAAAGACGUCGAUGUUCGUGGCUACCUGUGUUUCAGUGACAAGGGUCACAAGCACGGGCAUACAUCCCUUGAAGGCAUGGCGUGCUAUUAUAUAUAGUCACGCACAAAGGUUUUCUGAUCGUGUUCCGAAUGAGUCGGUGGACUCGGUCAAAAGGAGAGGCACGGACAUCCAGCAAACUGAGGCAUGGUUCGUUCCUACCCGGAGUGACGUUGGUGCGUUUAUUACGGAAACCUAGUAGAAUCGGGCGACUGUCCUUGUUACAAUUAUUUUCGUUGUAAGAUUUUUAACUCAAAUGCAUGAAAGGUGACUUUGUAUGUUUAGUAGCGUCAUGAUCCUUUACGCACGAAGACGACUUUUUGUGUGUCAGUGUUUCAGGUCACAGGAACGGUUGUUAAACUAAAAAACGCAUGACCUGUAAUUAUCCAGAGUUACCUUGGUGUCUCUUUGUGUUCCGAAUGCAUCCAUUGACUAUGUUACCAGGACAGGCUCGGUCGGGAUGACAAUGGAGGCAUGCUUGUGUUCUAUGCGGGGCCACGUUCGUCCGUUGAUUGUGGAAACACAAUGUUUCGGCGGGCGUCUCCACGUAUUCGGAUGUGAACGCCACAUGGCGCCGCCACAGAAACCCAAGGGUCCGACGGACGUCUCCUCCGGUGACACCGGUCUGGCUCGUCGCCAGAGGCCAGGCUUCGGCUAUUUAAGGCGGACAGACGGCGUCUCGAAACCCUAGCCACACCCUCCUCUUUCUUGGACUGUCCAGAUCCACGCCACAGAUAGUGGCGCUCGCAGGCGGCGCGAUCCCAGCAAUGGAGACGGAGAUGGAGGUCUACUCCUGUGCCCCGAACACCAAGAGGGCGAGGCUCGCGCGACCGGCGACGCCUUCCUCUGGUGGUUUGGCGGUAGCGGCUGGAAGCGGUGAGGGUGCGCCUACCGGAUCCGAGGAUCAAGAAGAUCAGUCUGGUCCCGACCGCAUCAGCGACCUACCGAACGGUGUCCUCGGUGAGGCCAUAUCCCGUCUGUCCACUAAGGAAGGCGCUCGCACUCAAAUCCUCGCACGUCGGUGGUGCCCUGUUUGGCGCGCCGCUCCUCUGAAUCUGGACUGCCGUGAGAUCCAUGUCCCACGUCUUUUUAACCCUCUAGAUCAAGUACAUUUCGAGUUGGUCACUGCGAACUCCGCCACACCGGAGGAACUCGUCCGCGUAACAUACACUGGAACAUUUUUUAGAGGAGAACAUGUCGGUGAAGAUAAUUCCUGUGAUGAUUCGUACCUUCCAGAGGCCAUCCUCUCCGGGCGUCAGAGUGCAGUUCGCCGCCUCUGCAUUCCGGCGUCCUACCUCGACUACAGGCACUCCACGGUCGACGACUGGCUUCGAUCCCCAAGACUGAACAAUCUCCAGGUUCUCGAGUUUUACUACCUGUUCCCACCAUGCUUGAGACAACAUGACAUAGGGCCAUUCUCAUGCCAUCACCACCAGCAUUAAACCCUCAGAUUUCCUCCUCUCUCCAAACCAUCGCCUUUGCUCUUUGCAAGUUACCAGACAAUUAUGUACGGGUGCUUAAACUACCACUGCUCAAGAGACUCUCGCUAGUAGAUGUUGAUGUAUCAGACGUCUCAUUACAAAGCAUCAUCAGCUCUACUUCUCCUACACUUGAGUCUCUGCUGCUUGUUUGGACAGUCAGGCACCAUUCCAUCAGAAUAAACUCACCUAACCUUAUAAGCAUCGGCAUUUCUGGUUACUAUGGUAAAAUUGUUAUAGAAGAUGCCUCGUCACUUCAACGGUUGCUUUGUGAUGGUGAUUGCAAAAAGUUGCGGGUAGUUAUCACCUCUGCACCUAAACUGCAGGUCAUGGGCAAAUUAUAUAAUAUUUUCUGUGAAUCCAGCAUCACAAAUGACCGUAUAAUUAUUCAGGUACUGACUUUCAACAAUACUUUCACCUCCAUUCAUUGGUACGAACAAGUUCCAUGCAAUUCAACCUUUACUCUACUAAUAUUAUGUUUUACUCUACAUGAAGUGUUUGCCGACAGUCAGCACAUCCACAACGGUUCAUUCUAUCAAGACGUUGUCUAUCAGCAUGGAUUAUGACCUGCAGGCAGUCUUUUCCUUGGUGGAACACUUCCGAAGCUUGGAAAACUUGUAUAUCGAGGUGAUGCUUCUCACACAGAUUGUAAAACACAUACCAUGCAUGGUGCAGAACUCCAUUCAACAAAAGGAAAACUUGUAUGUAAUGGACAAAGGUGUAUAUAGUCAUGGACGAGUAUUAGGACAAAACUAAAAAGAAAGCUUUUAUUACAACAUAGGUUAUAGACUUAUUCCUUCCAGCAGAAUCACUCUUUAUCGAGCUUAACCAUUUCAAAUAUUCAUGUUUAUUCAGGAAAUAGCCCCUAAUGAAGAAAGUCUUGUGAACGACUGUUCUUGCAAGCACCAUCAUGACGUUCGUUUGAAGUCACUGACGCUGGAAAGCUAUGUUCAAUGCGACAAAAGCAUUCGAUUUGCAACAUUCUUUAUUCUCAAUGCAGCAUAGCUGUAGACUAUGAGGAUCAAGUUUCUUCUUCAGGAACACUUCACGGAAGAAUUCUACAAACAGCAACAAGACGUGCUUCAGUGGGACAAAAAGGCUUCUAAACAUGCUUGCCUUAGGUUGUCACCAAGUUGCAACCAUGGGAACUUGGAUCUAAGGCACGCAUGUGUUGAGCACCUGGAUUUAAAGGGUCCAUUCAUUUGUAAGUGCUGAAAACAGUGCUGGAGUUAGAUGUUCCCGCCACUUUCCGGUUUUGGAAUUUGCGUAGGUGUGCUGAAACAAUGCCCGUACCUUUCUUGCUCAAUCUGUAACCUUACCAACAGUGAACUUGGUAUUUUGGUAGAUGGCUAAACAGUCUUUUGCUCAUGCCGUACAUUUCAUUAACUAAAAGGGCUUCAAGUCUCUGCAUCCACGACUAUGUACAUUUGUGACUUCCUAUGUUUCAGUGAUAAGGGUCACAGGAAAGGGCGUCAAAUCCGCAAAAGGCAUCGUGUGGUAUUAUAUAUAGUCAUGCUCGCUUGUGCUAGCGUUUGUGUUCCGAAUGAUUCAGUGAACCACGGUUUGCGAGCAAACACACAGAUGAUAAUGACUUCGUAGAAAAGUGAUUUGAGACGCACUGUUCUACCUGUCACACAGGCACGACCAUGGCAAACGCAUGGUUUGCCACGAACCACACAACGGCCGUGAAGUGAUACGACGGGACACAGGCACGCCCGUGAUUCCACAUGCUUCAGUAGCACGUAAAGACGUAAUUCUUUCCCAGGAAACGGUGGAAACCUACUGCCAAGCACUAUAUGCAUUUGUAAAACAGAAACACAAACACAACCAUGACCCGUUGUGUUUGAAAUCGUUGCAUCACAGAAGCAUCGCAAGCACGGUUAUGCACACAAGGUACGGUUAGGCACAGUGCAGGGACAUAAUUGCAGAUGUCACCGCUGUUGUGCGUUUUUUAAAACCACGGUCUUGCAAUCUUUCUAUUUUAGUGUUUCAGUAAUUAGGGUCAUAGCCACGUACGUCGAAUCCACAAAGGCAUCGUGUGUUAUUAAAUAGAGGCAUGUUCACUUGUGUUUGUGUUCCGAAUGAUUCAGUCGACUCGUUCAGACGGAGAAGCACGGACGAGCAGCCCAUGAAGGCAUACUUUAAUAUUAGGCAGGGUCACAAUCAUGCGUUUAUUGCGCAUGGUCGAUGGUAUUACACAGAGUCAUGCUCGCCUGCGAGACUCGAUCAGACGAAGAUGCACGGGCAUCUAGCCCACGGAACUGAACCUUUGUCUUACGCACAGCCACGCGCGUUUACUCUAUGAAGCACAUAAUUGCCUAUACGAGAGACACUGAUUUUAAAAGCUUAUUUCUUUGUAUUUAAAAGCACAGACAUGAAGUCCAUAGAGACACGGUUAUUUCUUGAUAAAGUCUCUGCAGCCACGGUUAUGUGCGUUUGUGACUUUCUGUAUUUUAGUGAUAAGGGUCGUAGACACAGGCAUCAAAUCCACAAAGGCAUCGCGUGGUAUUAUAUAGAGUCAUGUUCGCUUGUGUCUGUUUUCCUAAUGAUUCCGUCGACUCGUUUAGACGGAGAGGCACGAAAGAGAAGCCCAUGGAGGCAUACUUGAGUAUUUGGCAGAGUCACAUUCGUGCGCUUACUACAGAAACAUAACAGAAUUGGAUUCAGAUGUGAACCCUCACUGUUUACUUUGUGAGGGAAUCAAUGACCGAUCCAAGAGACACUGUCCUUAAAAGCACGGGCAAGAACUCUCUCCAACCACGGUUCUGUACCAAAGAGCCACUGUCAAACGCAUGAAAGUCAUGCAACGAGGGCCACACAUCUAGUACUAGAAAAAGCACUUUAUCAGCUGGCGUUGCUCCUUUUCUACGCGCACAGUAGGGUGGCUGUGAAAGGCACGUUAUACAAGCAGAGAACGAAAAUCACAAUGCCAUGAGAAGGUCAAAAGCAUGGUUGUGAGUCUGCAGUGUCACGGCUAGAAUCCUCGAGACGCAUUUCGGUGUGGCCUGUUGAGUAGAAACUCGAUUGUGCGGGAACCAGAAGCACUACAUAACGCCCCGCAAAAAAGGUUUGGUUCACCAUUGUGGUGGCUCUAUAUGCUUUCAGCUCUUUUCAUCUCGCCUGCUGAGUAAUAAAAAUACCUAAACAAGCAAAAUCUGUUAUGCUUACAUUUGCUUUGUUUCUACAACUGCACCAAAUAAACUUACAAGCCGCUUUUUAUAACCACAGUACGAGGACCAGAAACAGUGCAAGGCACCCAUCAGUGCAAGGCACCCAUCACCAUAUAUAAGACAUGCAACAUGCAAGUCAACCAUCAUGCAGCUCUAUCUGCAACACAGGCACGGUUGUACAUCCAUUGUGUGCAUGACAUGUACAUAUAUAAGACAGGCACCGUCAUACAUACAACACAACACGGUUACACAUGCAUCAUUUUAAAUCUACUUUAUGUCUCUUAACCUUGGUGCCACAGCAUUUUACGGUCCUUCGGCCAUACAAAGCCGCAAAACCACACAUUUCCUUCAUGACUGCACGCAACACAAAAACAAACAAGCCUACACACGGUGCAAAGACUACAAUGGUAGUCUGAUAAAGUUUACAUAAAACCCAAGCUCAAAAGAACGCAACAACAAAUAACUCCAUACAUCUGGACAACUAACACAAGGCCUGAUUUCAGCAUCCACACUGUGACGCCCCCGAUUCAAUCGUACACUAAUCAUGCACGCAAAUGUGUACGAUCAAGAUCAGGGACUCACGGGAAGAUAUCACAACACAACUCUACAAAUAAAAUAAGUCAUACAAGCAUCAUAAUACAAGCCAGGGGCCUCGAGGGCUCGAAUACAAGUGCUCGAUCAUAGACGAGUCAGCGGAAGCAACAAUAUCUGAGUACAGACAUAAGUUAAACAAGUUUGCCUUAAGAAGGCUAGCACAAACUGGGAUACAGAUCGAAAGAGGCGCAGGCCUCCUGCCUGGGAUCCUCCUAAACUACUCCAGGUCGUCAUCAGCGGGCAGCACGUAGUAGUAGGCACCUCCAGUGUAGUAGGGGUCGUCGUCGACGGUGGCGUCUGGCUCCUGGACUUCAGCAUCUGGUUGCGACAACCAGAAAGGAAGGAAAAGGGGAAAAAAGGGGGGAGAAAGCAACCGUGAGUACUCAUCCAAAGUACUCGCAAGCAAGGAACUAUACUACAUAUGCAUGGGUAUAUGUGUAAGGAGGCCAUAUCAGUGGACUGAACUGCAGAAUGCCAGAAUAAGAGGGGGAUAACUAAUCAUGUCGAAGACUACGCUUCUGGCAGCCUCCGUCUUGCAGCAUAUAGAAGAGAGUAGAUUGUAGUCCUCCAAGUAGCAUCCUCAAGUAGCAUCUCCAAGUAGCAUCUCCAAUCGCAUCGCAUAGCAUAAUCCUACCCGGCGAUCCUCUCCUCGUCGCCCUGUAGAAGAGCGAUCACCGGGUUGUCUGUGGAACUUGGAAGGGUGUGUUUUAUUAAGUAUCCGGUUCUAGUUGUCAUAAGGUCAAGGUACAACUCCAAGUCGUCCUGUUACCGAAGAUCACGGCUAUUCGAAUAGAUUAACUUCCCUGCAGGGGUGCACCACAUAACCCAACACGCUCGAUCCCAUUUGGCCGGACACACUUUCCUGGGUCAUGCCCGGCCUCGGAAGAUCAACACGUCGCAGCCCCACCUAGGCACAACAGAGAGGCCAGCACGCUGGUCUAAACCUAAGCGCGCAGGGGUCUGGGCCCAUCGCCCUGAGCACACCUGCACGUUGCGUACGCGGCCGGUGAGCAGACCUAGCAACCUCCAUUACAAGGGAAGUUGCGUUAACGCAGUCCAACCCGGCGCGCGCCGCUCCGUCGCUGACGUCUGAAGUGCUUCGGCUGAUACCACGACGUCGGGAUACCCAUAACUACUCCCACGUAGAUGGUUAGUGCGUAUAGGCUCGUAGCCAGACUCAGAUCAAAUACCAAGAUCUCGUUAAGCGUGUUAAGUAGCCGCGAACGCCGAACAGGGCCAGGCCCACCUGUCUCCUAGGUGGUCUCAACCUGCCCUGUCGCUCCGCCACAAAGUAAUAGUCGGGGGCCGUCGGGAACCCAGGCCCACCUCUACCGGGAUGGAGCCACCUGCCCCUUCAGCCCCCAACUCCGAACAGUAUCACAGGUAAUGUAACAGUGUAAAGUAUAUAGUAUAUGCCCGUGAUCACCUCCCGAAGUGAUCACAGCCCAGUAGUACAGCAUGGCAGACGGACAAGAGUGUAGGGCCACUGAUGGAACACUAGCAUCCUAUACUAAGCAUUUAGGGUUGCGGGUAAGGUAUCAAUGACUGUAGCAGCAAUGACAGGCUAUGCAUCAGAAUAGGAUUAACGGAAAGCAGUAACAUGCUACACUACUCUAAUGCAAGCAGUAUAGAGAAGAGUAGGCGAUAUCUGGUGAUCAAAGGGGGGGCUUGCCUGGUUGCUCAGACAAGGAGGGGUCGUCGGUGACGUAGUCGUACUCGGUGGCAUCAGCGUCGGUCUCGUAGUCUACCGGAGAUAAGAGGGGGAAGAAACAAUGAAUACAAUGCAAACAUAAACACGACGAUGCGUGACGUGACAAUGAGCGGUGCUAGGUGUGCCCUAACGUGGUAUGAGGUGGUACCGGUGAAGGGGGGAAAAACCCCCGGGAAAGUAUUCCCGGUGUUUCGUGUUUUCGGGCAGAGGAGCCGGAGGGGGAAAGUUGCGAGUUCGAUAGGUUAGGGGUGUGUGGCGGACGAACGGGUUGCGUAUCCGGAUUCGUCUCGUCGUUCUGAGCAACUUUCAUGUUGAAAAUAUUUUAAUCCGAGUUACGGAUUAAAAGAUAUGAUUUCUAAAAGAUUUUAACAAUUUUGGAAUUUAAUUAUUUAUUUAAUUAAUUCGAAAAAUGUAUUUAUGACGUCAGCAUGAUGUCAUGCUGACGUCAGCAGUCAACAGCGGUUGACUGAGUCAACCCUAACAGGUGGGUCCCGUUCGUCAUACUCUGUUAACUAAUUAACCUAAUUAAGUUUAAUUAACAGUAGUUAAUUAGGUUAAUUAGUUAUUAGGUUAAUUAAUCAGGAUUAAUUAGAUUAAUUAUUUACUUAAUUAAUUGAUUAAUUAAUUAAUUAAUUAGUUUUUAUUCAUUUUUUUAAUUUUUUUUAUAUAAAUCUCAUUUUCCUUUUCUUUUUAUUUAAAAGUUCUAUGGGGGGGUGGGGCCCCAUCUGUCAUUGUCACCGGGGGGUUCUUAGCGGGCGCGAGGGCAGUUGGGUGUGGGCGCUGGGCGCCGGGUUAACGGGCGAAGCCCGGCUGGGCACUCGAGCGGGUGCGGGGGCGCCGACGGUGCCGGCCAGGUGGCUGGAGCCACGCACGGGAGGCGGAACGGCGAGCGUGAGGGGAGGCGCGGGGUUGCCGAGCGCGUCGAGGACGACAACGCCCAGCGGCAGUUGCGGGCGGCGCCCGGUGCCGCAGUCCUGCGGGACUCAGAGGCGGGCGAGCACGGGGCUGCGCGAGCNNNNNNNNNNNNNNNNNNNNNNNNNNNNNNNNNNNNNNNNNNNNNNNNNNNNNNNNNNNNNNNNNNNNNNNNNNNNNNNNNNNNNNNNNNNNNNNNNNNNNNNNNNNNNNNNNNNNNNNNNNNNNNNNNNNNNNNNNNNNNNNNNNNNNNNNNNNNNNNNNNNNNNNNNNNNNNNNNNNNNNNNNNNNNNNNNNNNNNNNNNNNNNNNNNNNNNNNNNNNNNNNNNNNNNNNNNNNNNNNNNNNNNNNNNNNNNNNNNNNNNNNNNNNNNNNNNNNNNNNNNNNNNNNNNNNNNNNNNNNNNNNNNNNNNNNNNNNNNNNNNNNNNNNNNNNNNNNNNNNNNNNNNNNNNNNNNNNNNNNNNNNNNNNNNNNNNNNNNNNNNNNNNNNNNNNNNNNNNNNNNNNNNNNNNNNNNNNNNNNNNNNNNNNNNNNNNNNNNNNNNNNNNNNNNNNNNNNNNNNNNNNNNNNNNNNNNNNNNNNNNNNNNNNNNNNNNNNNNNNNNNNNNNNNNNNNNNNNNNNNNNNNNNNNNNNNNNNNNNNNNNNNNNNNNNNNNNNNNNNNNNNNNNNNNNNNNNNNNNNNNNNNNNNNNNNNNNNNNNNNNNNNNNNNNNNNNNNNNNNNNNNNNNNNNNNNNNNNNNNNNNNNNNNNNNNNNNNNNNNNNNNNNNNNNNNNNNNNNNNNNNNNNNNNNNNNNNNNNNNNNNNNNNNNNNNNNNNNNNNNNNNNNNNNNNNNNNNNNNNNNNNNNNNNNNNNNNNNNNNNNNNNNNNNNNNNNNNNNNNNNNNNNNNNNNNNNNNNNNNNNNNNNNNNNNNNNNNNNNNNNNNNNNNNNNNNNNNNNNNNNNNNNNNNNNNNNNNNGGCGACGGGAUCGGGGGUUGCCCCGAUCCAGAUCGGGGAAGGGCGAGAGGGAGGAGUGGGAGAGAAUGGGGGCGACGUGGGGGUGGGGUUAGGGUUUCGGGGUGGUAAUGGGGAGUGCGGGGGUGGGAUCCGGCCGGCUGGGCCUUUUGGCCUGAUGGCCUGCUGGCUAGCUGGGCCAUUCGGCCCAGGGGGAGGGGGGUUCUUCCUUUUUAUUUUUUUUUCUGUUUUGUUCCUUUUCCUUUUAUUUAUUUUCUUUUAUUGUUUUAAUUCAACUUAGGGCACAUAAGUAUUUUAUAAAUUUGUGUUUUCUUUAUUAUAAUUACCUAUGUAAUAUUUGGCACUAACCGAACAUUUUUGUUUCAAUAUUUGAAAUCUUUUAUUGUUUGCUUGAUUUUGAAUUUGAACGCGAAUCGGUUUCGAACUAUCGCGAGAUUAGCAACUAUAAUCGAGGUGACGUGGCAUCACUAGCAGAGGAUCACUGUAGCUUAAUUACCCGGGCGUCACACACACCUGAACGGAACCGUCAAAUCUAGGUAUUCAAGACUCCUCUUUCUUAAAUGCGGAUGCGUGUGGCUGCAACUUGAUGAUAAUCUAAGACGUGCACGCUUAGAAGCCCUUCUAUGCCACUCCAGAACCCUUUGUUGAUUUUCGUAAAAUACUCCCGUGAACUCUGCGGGAGGGGAGGUAAACUUAAUGGUCAUGGUCUCCAGAUCCUUUGCACUAAGAAUAAAGAACACCACAAAGUUAGCGUAACUCCCAGAGCGAACAUAAUCUUCCAGCGAUACUGUCUUCGGACAAACGUCGUGAUGUUUGAGAAACUCCCGGUACUUACGACGCCAUUUGUUUUUUUCACCACGAGAAAUCAACGAUCCCUAAAAUAUAAAUGAUAGGUUGAAAAUACUUAACGUCUACAAAAAGAGAUACAUACCAUCAAAAAACCAAAUGCAACAAUUAAUUCUACCACCUCCGUAACAAGAAGUUAGACAUAGACUUGUCUAUAUAUGGAUGUAUACAACAAUAAAUCAUGUGUAGGUACGGGAUCAUCAAUUUCAGUCAAAAUUAGGACAAGCAUUUCAAAAAGGAACGAGUACUAUAGAAUGCAAAUUUCUGAAGAUCAUCACCUCGACAAACAAGUUCUCCAGUUUUGGAAAGCAUUGCAGCAAAUCAACAACAAUGUCCACCUUAUAAUCAAUGUAUAUAAGCAAGGUCUUGACAGAUUGACGCAUUGUUGUUAGACUGACUGCCUUCAAACCCUUAAUGAAAAUUAACAGAAGAUGAAUCAAAAAACUAAUAGCAUAAAGGUUGGAUGAAAUAAAACUUGUUUCCUCACAAAUAAAGUUAAGCUGGAAGUAUCACAAAAACUCAAUACCUCAAGACACGCCAGACGACAUGGAUACGGUUCAGACGCAGAGACAAUGGUUACCUCCAAGUCCUGACUCUGCAUGAAGAAUACAACAAAGACCAUCAAAUUAAUAAAACAAACAUCGAAACAAGUACAACUCUGUUCCAGUAUUAAGGAAAGUCAGUACCUCAAGACACUUCGAGGGAGACACAAAAACGAAUUCACCCAACCUCUCCAGUUUAGGUGCAGAGACAAUGGUUAUCGAAUAUUCGUCAACGAGACAAUCAACAAUCAACCGUCGAAGCGAAGGGGCAUCCUCAACAACGAGUUCCCCGUGUGGACAACAAAUGCCAAUGCUUACAAGGUUAGACGAGUUUAUUGUGACACGACGACCUCCUCAAUUGCAAACAAGCAGGAGAGACUCAAGUGCAGGGCAACUAGUGUGGAUUAUGCUUUGCAGCGACAUGUCUGAUAUAUCAACAGCCACAAGCGAGAGUCUUUUCACUAGUGGUAGCUUAAGCGUCCCUACGUAAUUGUCUGCUAUUUGGCAAAGAGCAAAGCUGAGGGUGUGGAGAGAGGAGGAAAACCGAAACACGGACUCCGGUGCCGAGGGCGUAGUUGAAGUGCAUAGAUCCAAUAGAGUUACCUCUUGCGUCAGAAAUUCUGGGACGAGGUAAUAGAACUCAAGAACCUGGAUAUUGUUCAAAUUCCAGGAUCGGAGCCAGGCAUCAACGAUGGAGGGCCUGCACUAUAGGUAGCACGCCGGAAUAGAGAGGCGGCUAACCAAGCCAGCAUGGCCGGACAGAAUGGAUUUCGGAAGACUAACAACAGGAUUUCGACAGAGCCGCAUUCCGGAAUAGCAUUUGCGAACGGGCUCCUUGGUGAAGGCGCACAUAUGAGAUAUGGUCUCGAUAUGAACUUUUUCACCAUCGUCAAAAAGACGAGAGUUAGAGAUCUCGCGGCAGUCGAGAUUCAGAGGAGCGAUGGGCCACAAAGGACGCCAGCGACGUGCGAGGAUUCGAGUACGGAUGUCAUCCUUGAUGGGAAGACGAGAGAUGAUCUCACCUAGGACGCCGUCGGCGAGAUCGCUGAUGCGGUCCGCACGACAUCCCUCUUCUUCCUCAUCGGAUCGGGAGGGAGCACGGUCGCCGCUUCCAUCCCCUCCGAUGACCAGCACACCACCAGAAAGCGGCGUCGCCAGUGGCACCACUCUCGACCUCUUGAUGCCACGAGCAGUGCUUUCCAUUGAUAACCCACAAGUAUAGGGGAUCGCAACAGCUUUCGAGGGUAGAGUAUCAACCCAAAAUUAUUGAUUCGACACAAGGGGAGCCAAAGAAUAUUCUCAAGUAUUAGCAGUUGAGUUGUCAAUUCAACCACACCUGGAAACUUAGUAUCUGCAGCAAAGUGUUUAGUAGCAAAGUAAUAUGAUAGUGGUGGUAGCGGCAACAAAAGUAAAGACAGCAAAAGUAAUGUUUUUGGUAUUUUGUAGUGAUUGUAACAGUAGCAACGGGAAAGUAAAUAAGCGUAAACUAGUAUAUGGAAAGCUCGUAGGCAUUGGAUCAAUGAUGGAUAAUUAUGCCAGAUGCGGUUCAUCAUGUAUCAGUCAUAACAUAGGGUGACACAGAACUAGCUCCAAUUCAUCAAUGUAAUGUAGGCAUGUAUUCCGUAUAUAGUCAUACGUGCUUAUGGAAAAGAACUUGCAUGACAUGUUUUGUCCUACCCUCCCAUGGCAGCGGGGUCCUAUUGGAAACUAAGGGAUAUUAAGGCCUCCUUUUAAUAGAGAACCGGAACAAAGCAUUAGCACAUAGUGAAUACAUGAACUCCUCAAACUAUGGUCAUCAUCGGGAGUGGUCCCGAUUAUUGUCACUUCGGGGUUGCCGGAUCAUAACACAUAGUAGGUGACUAUAGACUUGCAAGAUAGGAUCAAGAACUCACAUAUAUUCAUGAAAACAUAAUAGGUUCACAUCUGAAAUCAUGGCACUCGGGCCCUAGUGACAAGCAUUAAGCAUAGCAAAGCCAUAGCAACAUCUAUCUCAAAACAUAGUGGAUACUAGGGAUCAAACCCUAACAAAACUAACUCGAUUACAU
rnacentral:lncRNA from 1 species